rnacentral:misc_RNA from 1 species
GUAGGAGGUAGCAGGUACCCCAUGGAAUUAGCCGAGGUGCACACAAGAUGGCUGGGGAUACCACUGUAAUCAAAAGAAAAUACUCUAGCGUCUUUUCCAAGCCUCCCACUGCACUUCUAUUUCUGUUAGUGCAUCUGAAAUACACUAAGAUAAGAAUAGAAGUUUAUCCUGAAAAUAGCAAUGGUUUCUUUCUAUGGACAUCGACCAAAA